CUGGAAUGCAGACGUGUUCAGAACAUCUGUAGGAGGAGCCCUGCAAGAAGGAGAAAGCAGAAGGUCUGUCAGUCAAAGACCUCAGCGCUGUGCCUGUGCUUCAAAGUCUCCAGAACUGUUCAGUACAGCUUCUUCCUCUGUCCUUUGAAGAUUUCCUGAAGUUAAUGUGCCUUGGUUAAUUUUCAUAGCACUGGACAGAAGUCUGUAUUUCUUGCUCAGUGAAUUUACUGUAGGCAACACCUUUGUCUUAUGCAAGAAAGAUAUAUUGUCA
rnacentral:lncRNA from 1 species